CGGCGUAAAGAGUGGUUAUGGAGAAAAUCAAACUAGAGCUAAAGUCUCCUAGGGCCGUUAUACGUAUUCCAGGAGCUCGAAACACUAAAACGAAAGUAGCUCUACCAUCUACCAGACCCCACGACAGCUGAGGCACAAACUGGGAUUAGAUACCCCACUAUGCUCAGCCGUAAACUUAGAUAUGAUUUUACAACAAAUAUCCGCCCGGGGACUACGAGCAUCAGCUUAAAACCCAAAGGACUUGGCGGUGCUUCAGACCCUCCUAGAGGAGCCUGUUCUAUAACCGAUAAUCCCCGUUAAACCUCACCACUCCUUGCCCCGUACCGCCUAUAUACCACCGUCGCCAGCUUACCCUGUGAAGGCCCAAUAGUAAGCAGGAUGGGUAAACCCCAAAACGUCAGGUCGAGGUGUAGCGUACGAAGUGGGAAGAAAUGGGCUACAUUACUUGAAGCAAAUAAUUACGAAUGGUUACCUUGAAACUAGGUACCUGAAGGUGGAUUUAGCAGUAAAGAGGGAGCAGAGUGCCCUCUUGAAGCUGGCUCUGAAGCGCGCACACACCGCCCGUCACUCUCCCCGACAACA
rnacentral:rRNA from 1 species